CAAAGAAACCGCGCCAGGUCCCAAGGGUGGCAGGUGCCAGGGAUGCCCAGGCUCAGCCUCGAGAGCACCCGGCGGCGGCGGUGGUUUCUCUGAGCAGACACGUGUGUGGUGUCUGAGUGUGCCCGGAUGUGUCUCCAUCACUCUCCCGCCGUGUCUCGCCCCAAGAGAAACCCAUGUGUGCCACGGGGCGGAGCACCGGCAUGGGUUGUGUUUUUGUCACUGGGUGUGUCUGUGUGUGUGGUUUGGUGUCUCUGGGUGUGUCUGUGUGGGUUGAGUUGGUGUGUUGCCAGGCAUGUCUGUGUGUGUCUCAUUUCCCUGUGGCUGGAGGGUCCAUGCUCCUGCAUGACAUAUGACACGGGAGGGGAGAGGGGUUAUGUCUGUGUGUGCCCCCAAGAAAGGUGUCCCUGGGACCACCGGCUGUGUCAGGAGAUCAGUGUGAUGUUGUGUGUUGCUGUAGGAGGCUUCUGAUCUGUGUCUGCUGUGUGUGCUCACACCCUACACUGUGUGUAACUCUGCAUUGCAUGUGCUGUUCUGUGUCAGUAUGUGGUGUGUCUCUUUCCAGAUGUUGUGUGUGUAAAGCUGUGUAUCACUCAGUGAUGUGACCCUUUGUCUCCUGUCGAGGCACAUGUCCUUGUUGGGGGCCUCUCCUUUCCCUGCCAACAACACAGUCUGGGUGCCCACACUCCAAGUGUGUUGUGUUUGUGUGGUUGUGUAUUACACUGUGCCAUAGGGUGUCCUCUGGCGUGUGGUAUUGUUGCUGGCCUAUCAGUUGUGUCACAUCUGCUGUGGCAUGUGACACAUGGUGUUUAUCAAAGGUGCUAGUGGGAAAUGUUGUGUUGAUGUGUUUUGUGUCACUGUAUGCUUGUGUAUUUCUCUGUGCGUGCUGUAUUUGUGUGGUCGUGCAUGUUGGAGUAUAUGGAGUACCGGGCCAUGUGUGGCUGUUGUAUGUGGUGCUUGAAUGUGGCUUGUCAGUCAGAGGUGAUGGUGCAUGCUUUCUCCUGUACACAUUGCAUUUGGGCAUCGGGGUCCAUGUAGCCUGUCCCCUUCCCCACCCGGGGCACCAUUCCGGGUUGUGUACUCUGUGAUGCACCAAAAUAUACCAAAAACGUCUCACUUGGGGCCUGUGCUGUUAGGGAUUCUGUGUGUGCUGCUGUACACUGGAGGUCUCUGCCUGCGUCUCCCCACACUGCUCUCCUUUUAUACUAGCAUGGCAUUGUGUACCGGGGUACGCUGUGUGUGCUGCGAACCACCCUCUGUGCUCGAGUCAUGUGCAUUUCUCUAUGUGCUGAGUAAUGGGGACUGCCACGGGUAUGUCCCUAAGUGUUGUGUGUCUGCAUGAGUUGGAUAUCACUCCCUGGAUGUGUAAUGCCUGGGCUCUGAGAGAGCACUGUUAACAGUGAUAUGUGUGCAUGGCACUUGGGCAUCGCUAUGUCAAUAUAAUUAGUGUGUUUGUGGAACACUUGGUAUAUGCUCUGCUUGUGUAGCUGUGUGUGUGCUUCAUCUGGUGUGUGGUGUCUGGGUGUGGCUGUGUGUGUCAGGCAAUGUUGUGCUCAUUUUGAUCACAAUAUUGUGCCUGUGUCUAGACAAUAUUUAGGUGGUUGUGUGUGCCACAGGGCGCUGUCUGCCCUGCUGAGUGCUGGCGUGUGUCACACCAUGUGUGUGUGGUGUCUGGGUGUGGCUGUGGGUUUCAAAACUUGUUGGAAGUUGUGAGUCACUUGGUGUAGGUUGUGUUGUGUGCCCAUGUGUGUUAGGCUCUGCCUAUGAUCGUGCAGGGUGUGAGGGUGUCAUGUGGUGUCUGGGUGUGGUUAGAUGUAGGUGUGUAUUACAAAGUGCAGACCGUUGUGUGACUAUUGUGUGUCAGUGUGUCUUUAUCCAUGUGGAUGCACACUUCUUCCUUGCUCUGCCUCAAGACACACUCCAGCCCCUCCUUAGUCUGAGAAGGGGGGUUGGGGAGCCUCCCCUCUGCCCAUGGGCCUCCCAGCCCCUCCCUGCCCUGCCCAGCCGUCACCACCCCCCAGAGGGCACCGGCUCCCUGUGCCUCAAAGCAAGAGCCCCAGAGCAACUGAGCAGAACAAGCAGACGACCUGCAAGCCACAGUGGCUGCCCUUUGUGUGCUGCGAGCUGGGGGACCCUGGGCAGGAAACUGGCUGAGCCCCAAGACCCAGGGGAACAUGGGCGGGGAGCUGGUGCCUGGCUUGGGGGCCCUACGGCGGCGAAAACGCCUGUUGGAGCAGGAGAAGUGGCUGGCCUGCUGGGCACUGACGCUGGCGGUAAUUGGCAUCGGGCUCAUGGUACUACACGCGGAGAUGCUGUGGUUUGGAGGGUGUUCGUGGGCGUUCUACCUGUUCCUGGUUAAAUGCACCAUCAGUAUCUCCACCUUCUUGCUCCUUUGUUUCAUCUUGGCCUUUCAUGCCAAAGAGGUCCAGCUGUUCAUGACAGACAACGGCCUCCGGGACUGGCGUGUGGCGCUGACAGGGUGGCAGGCGGCGCAGAUCGCAGUGGAGCUGGCGGUGUGCGGGCUGCACCCGGCGCCAGUGGGGGGCCCGCCGUGCCUGCAAGAUUCCGGGUCCCCGCUCACCGCGACGCGGUCCUGGCCGGGCUUCCUGGGCCAGUGGGAGGCGCUGCUGUCCCUGGCCAUGCUGCUGCGCCUCUACCUGAUUCCCCGCACCGUGCUCCUGCGCAGCGGCGUCCUGCUCAACGCGUCCUACCGCAGCAUCGGCGCCCUCAACCAGGUCCGCUUCCGCCACUGGUUCGUGGCCAAACUGUACAUGAACACGCACCCGGGCCGCCUGCUGCUCUGCCUCACGCUUGGCCUCUGGCUCACCACCGCCUGGGUGCUGUCGGUGGCUGAGAGGCAGGCUGUUAAUGCCACCGGACAACUUUCGGACACUCUCUGGCUGAUCCCCAUCACAUUCCUAACCAUUGGUUAUGGGGAUGUGGUGCCAGGCACCAUGUGGGGCAAGAUUGUCUGCCUCUGCACUGGAGUCAUGGGGGUCUGCUGCACAGCCCUGCUGGUGGCUGUGGUGGCUCGGAAGCUGGAGUUUAAUAAGGCAGAGAAGCAUGUGCACAACUUCAUGAUGGACAUCCAGUAUGCCAAAGAGAUGAAGGAAUCAGCUGCCCGAGUGCUACAAGAGGCUUGGAUGUUGUACAAACAUACACGCAGGAAGGACUCUGGAGCUGUCCGCAGGCACCAGCGCAGGCUGCUGGGUGCCAUCAACACGUUCCGCCAGGUGCGGCUGAAACACCGAAAGCUCCGGGAACAAGUGAACUCCAUGGUGGACAUCUCCAAGAUGCACAUGAUCCUGUGUGACUUGCAGCUGGGUCUGAGCAGCUCACACCAGGCCCUGGAAAAGCGGAUUGACACACUGGCAGGGAAGCUGGACACCCUGACUGAGCUGCUUAGCACUGUCCUGGGGCCAAGGCAGCUUCCAGAACCCAGCCAGGAGGCCAUAUAGCUGGACUUAAGGAGGAAGAACCAGGCUACUUUCCCCAGGAUUGAGGUCAAGGACAUUCUCCCUUCUUCUCCUGACCCAGCACUAAGAAUAAAGCGCCUCAAAUGCAAGGACUCUAGGGGACCCCACUUUGGAGUGGGUUGACUCGCUGAGGCUGCUGGAGGAAACACUAGCUGAAGAAGGGAGGCCGUGGACCAUCCCUGAGGCCCCUGCCCAUCCCUGAGGCCCAAAUGGGAAAACGGUCACCACUACCCCAAGUACUGUCAACAAAAACAUCCUCACUGUGCUGCUACAGAUGACCUCCAGCUUCCAGUUAGAAGUGGAGGCAGUUCAUCCAGUGGAAGGACCUUACCCUGCCCUGUCUGAACCUCAGUUUCCCCAUCUAUAAAACAGAGGCUUCCCCUAAGUGCCCUCCCAGCUGUGUAGGCUGGGGAGUCCUCACCAACUCCCCCACACCCCAGGUCUGAGGCUAUGAGCAAGGGCUUUGAAUUCAGGCAGAUCCUGGCUCCACCAUCUACUGGCUGUGUGAUUUGGGGCAAAUGGUUCCACCUCUGAACAUUUGACCUCACCUGUAGAAUGGGGCCACUCCCCAUAGAAAUGCUGUUAAAACAGAGUGACACAGAGGGUCA